rnacentral:rRNA from 1 species
CUAAUACAUNGCAAGUCGAGCGGAGUUAUUCCUUCGGGGAUAACUUAGCGGCGGACGGGUGAGUAACACGUAGGCAACCUGCCUGUAAGACUGGGAUAACUACCGGAAACGGUAGCUAAGACCGGAUACACAACUUGAUCGCAUGGUCGAGUUGGGAAAAGCGGAGCAAUCUGCUACUUACGGAUGGGCCUGCGGCGCAUUAGCUAGUUGGUGAGGUAACGGCUCACCAAGGCGACGAUGCGUAGCCGACCUGAGAGGGUGAACGGCCACACUGGGACUGAGACACGGCCCAGACUCCUACGGGAGGCAGCAGUAGGGAAUCUUCCGCAAUGGACGCAAGUCUGACGGAGCAACGCCGCGUGAGUGAUGAAGGUUUUCGGAUCGUAAAGCUCUGUUGCCAGGGAAGAACGCUUGGGAGAGUAACUGCUCUUAAGGUGACGGUACCUGAGAAGAAAGCCCCGGCUAACUACGUGCCAGCAGCCGCGGUAAUACGUAGGGGGCAAGCGUUGUCCGGAAUUAUUGGGCGUAAAGCGCGCGCAGGCGGCUUUGUAAGUCUGGUGUUUAAACNUAGGGCUCAACCCUGGGUCGCAUUGGAAACUGCAAGGCUUGAGUGCAGAAGAGGAGAGUGGAAUUNCNCGUGUAGCGGUGAAAUGCGUAGAGAUGUGGAGGAACACCAGUGGCGAAGGCGACUCUCUGGGCUGUAACUGACGCUGAGGCGCGAAAGCGUGGGGAGCAAACAGGAUUAGAUAC